GAUAAGCUAAAGUGUCACAUUGAUCAUUAAUCACAUGAAUGUGAUCCUGUGCAUUAGUGUUAAACUUUCACUCCACACAAAGACUCUGCAGUUGCUACACCAUUAUACUGAAGAGCAAAGUCGGUGAGAGCACCUGAAACUCCACCCUCAUAACUCACCUUCACUGUGUUUGCCUUUGGCAGCCCACACACUCUUCUCAAGCUCACAAUGAGAUGAGCACAACUUUCGCAAGCCUGUGAGAGGGAACAAAGGAACAAGAAAAAUUUUGCUUAGAAACUCAGUAGACCAGAAAGAGAAUAGAAAAUUAUCAUGAAAAAAGAGCUUUUCAUGUUGACUAUAGCUGCUGUAAAACUGCUAUCUGGUAUAGGUCAAAUUAGUUAUAAAGAAGUGUGUAGGAAGACACAACUUUUCAGUAAAUUGCAUUAGAAACUAAGCAGGUGGGUAGGUCUGUGUGCUGUUAUGCAAGCUGAUUUAGCUGUCGACUUUGAAAAAGCUUAGAAUGGCUAGACCUUCCAAUUACUUUUUCCCGGGUAAUUCCUUCAUGUUUAUCUGUAUGAAGUCCAAGAAGGGCGCUGCUGGAAUCUCAAAUUUGUAUCCAGCCCAUCAGAAGCACAGAUCAUUAACUGCAUCUGAAGGAAACUGAAGAGAGGUCCUAAUUACUGAAAGCAAGUUAUAGGAAGAUUAAUCUGGCAAUUGUGGGCAGAAGAUUAUGGAAAAGUUUCCAAGAUCACCUGGGAACUCUUAAAGGUAGGUUGAAGCUCCAAUCAAGGUUGUAGCAGUAGAAACUCAAAUAUAUGAGCAACAUUACAAAAGAUACAUCAGAAAACCAUAGUUGGCUGGUGAAUUUGAAAAAGGGGAGAGACAAAUAAAAUGAUAGUUCAUGUUAAUAUUUUAAGUUCCAGAGACCUGACACAUGUUUUCCACAGGCUAAACAGGGAGGAAGGUCAAGUAGGUAUGAGAUAUGAUAGGCUCAGUUUCAGACUUACUUUGGGUUGAAUUUGGGAUAAUUCAGUGCACGGGCUCAUGAGCCUGAGGGGGAGAUAGGAGUAGGAGACAUAGACCGAGAUGUUAUGCACAUAAAGGUGAGGGCUGAAUCUACAUAAGGAGUAAACCCUUGGAAAAGAAAAUGGGAAGAAAAAAGUACAGGGGGCCAAGACAGAUUCCUGACCAAUGACAAGAGCUGGUUGCAGAAGAAAGAAAGGAAACCAAAGAAGACAUGAAGUGGAGUAUUUGGAAAAAACAAACAAAACCAAAAAACAAAAAACAAAGAACUGAAAAUACUAUAGUGUUUAUCUUAGGAGAACUCUAUAUCUGAAAUGUAGUUGGAAAGGCUGUCCUCUAUGUCUAUGUUUAUCAAGUUCAAAAUACUAGUUUCUAUGUCAGUAUGUAUAUCUGGCUGAAUAUUUAAAUCUUGUAUGAAAAUUAGAGAAAGCUCAGUAAAGAAUGUUGAAAGAAGAACUUCACAUUAGACUAAUUCAUCUUCAGAAACACAACAGUGAGUUAAAAUAUUUCAUUAAAAUUUUGGUUUUUAAGUAAGUUCAGACUACUUGUUAAAUAUUGGAAAUCAAAAUUGCUAUUGCUGUGAAAGCCCUCUGUUAAGAAGAUUUAUGACUAAGGCAAAAAUUAGGUCUGUAGUCCUACACAAUGGAAAAGCCUAAACUAAUCUGGUUAAGUAGCUUAAAUAAACUGACAAAUCUGGACACCAAUAUCAUCAGAGGAAUUGCAUAUAAUCUGGAAAGGAAGGGCAGCCAACGUGAGAAGUCAUUCAAAUGCAAAAGCUGAGACUCAUCAAUGUUGCUUGCAAACACUUACUGAUUCAAUGAAUAAUGAUCUCUAAACCAGAAUGAAUGACACACUAUAAAUGCUGAAGCAAGUUAACCUACACCUGUUCUUCUUGAUUAGGAUCAAAGGUGUUUGUGUGAAUUUUUCUUUUCAAAGAAAUAAUGCUCAUUAGUUCAUUAGUUCAGAAUGAAAGUGAGCCAUGACCAACUAAGUGGAUAACCUUGGGAAGUUCCCUUUUCCUUAAUUUAUGUCUUUGUAAAAUGAGGGGAUGGAACUGGGUGAUCUAAAGUCCCUAUUCUCUUAUUAAAAAGUAGUUUCCAAAUUAUUAAACUAGGGUUAAAAUAUGUUUCUUAUCAAACCCUCUGCAACCUGACUUUGCACAUAGUUGUAAUAUAGACAUGGAUAUAGGUAUGGGAUAUAUAGUAUGAUCUAGGGAAAACAUUGAAUUUAAUCAUCUGAUUGAAAGGAAAUAGAUUUUCUAGAAUAAAUUUGUGUAAGGCCUAAAGACAAAUAUAGAUACGCGUUAUGUGGAAAAUAAAUACAAACUUUAUGAAACAUAGGAAGGCAAAAGUUCUGCUUCUAAGGCAGGAAAGCUUUUAGGAGGUGGGGAAAAAAGAUUAGCUGGUUGUUUAGCUCAAAGACAGUAGUGUAUGUGGAAUUAUUAUACAGAAAUAUGAAUGCCACGUAUGGAUGAUAAAGGUUUUUGAAGCAAUCGUGAAACAAUUACUCAAAAGUGGGUCUUCCAUUCAUGUUGUUCGGUUAGCAACUCUACACCUCAGCAGUUACCCAAAUGGCAAUACAUCCCCCAGCCCACAGCCAGGCUGCUAGGAAGGCACAGCCAUAGGGUUUCUCUUUUAGGGAGCCAAAAAAGUUAUUUCUGAGCACAUUCUCUAUCAUCCAAAAAAUUAGACAUUACUCAUGAAAGUUUCUAGAAAUCCAAUAUUAACAAGUGAAUGGAAGAGGAAAUCAAGAUAUGCUUUAAACUGCAGUCAUUCCAGGGGCACCUGGGUGGCUCAGUCAGUUAAACGUCCAACUUCAGCUCAGGUCAUGAUCUCGCGGUCCGUGAGUUCGAGCCCCACGUCCGGCUCUGUGCUGACAGCUCAGAGCCUGGAGCCUGUUUCAGAUUCUGUGUCUCCCUUUCUCUCUGACCCUCCCCCAUUCAUACUCUGUCUCUCUCUGUCUCAAAAAUAAAUAAACAUUAAAAAAAUUAUUUUUUAAAUAAACUGCAGUCAUUCCUUAACACGUAUAUGGAGAUUGUUCUUGUAAAAGAGUGUGAAAACUUAGGAACAAGUAAAGAGUAAGAAUUAAAACAAAAUGUGAUUAGAUUGCCAACAUUUCUAAAAACAUUCAUAAUAGCCAGGGUUGGCAACAUGUAGAGAAAUGGGUGCUGCCAUAUAGUCUUGAUAAGACUUUAAACUGGCAAGUCCCAUUCACCAGGGGCAGUUUGGCAGUGACUUACAAACUGAAAAUGCACAUACACUUUAAUGGAACAGUUCUACUCCUGAGAGUCUCUCUUCCUGAAACACACACACAGAGCCUAAAUAUAGAUGCACAAUGUUUAUUGCUUUACUACACCUAAAGUUGGGAAACAAAUCAUAAAACACAUUUGUAUGUCUACAUUUUACAAUCCUAUGAAAAGGUCAUUAAAAUGGAUGAGAUGGGGGUGCCAGGCUGGCUCAGAUGGUAGAGCAUGUGACUCUUGAUCUCAGAGUUGUGAGUUCAAGUCCCACACUGGGGGACUUAAGAGAUUACUUAAAAACAAAAUCUUAAAGAAAAUGAAUGAGGUGGAUCUACAUGGACUGAUAUAAAAAUAUAUUAUUCUAUAUUCUUAAGUGAAAAAUCAAGUUUCAAAAAUUAUUAUACUAUGACCUCCCUGGUUGCAACCCAUCCUCUCAUAUGUAUUUACCUGUACUAUAUAAAUUAGCAAGACCAUAGAGUAAUGUAUACAUUAAGUUAUAAUAGUAGUUAUCUGCGGUGAGUGGCUUAGAGAUAUAAUGGGGGAAUGUACAUUUUAUUAUCAUAAAAUUUUAUAGGAACAGCCUGCAAUUUGAGAAUGUUAAUUUCAAAUAAUAGAAUAAUUAACAUGAAUCUAAUGGGCAAAGAGGUAAUGCUCUUCUUUGGGGACUUUUAUAUUACAUAUGAGUCCUUAACACUAAACAUUACAUAAAUGUUAAUCUACACUGGCUAUUGUUGCAAGUGAUACCUUUAAGUCGCUUAAAAAAAUGAAAUGGAAAGCUUGUUCUAUUCUAUAAAACAACUUAAAAUUUAAAAAAAUAUUAAAAAUAUGUAAAUACUAAAGAAUAUUAAUCCUCCCUAAUAAUCAAUGACAUGAAAACAAGAAUAUGGCAUCAUAUUAGCAGAGCUAAAAAUGGAUAAUAAUUAAGAUUUGCAAGAGUUUGAUCAAGCUACUUUUAUAUAUUGCUGGUGGUAACAAUUUUUUCUCAUGGCAUUAUAAUCUCUUUCAUACAUAUAUACGGCUACGUAAAAGCUGAAAAUAAAUAUUUUAGAAUAUUAAAAAUGCUAACAUCCAAAUAAUAAUAACUUUCUUCUCUGAACUUUAAAUACAUUCCAGCUUUUGUAAUUAUUUAUUUUACUUCUGUAGUGAGAUAAAUAUAAAGAAAUUUGU